GUGCUUACUUUGAUGGUAUAUACAAAAAUGUGAAUGAUAUAGAGAAUAUUAGCAGGGCUCUUGAAGAAGGAUGACACAGAUUUGUGAAACAUUCCAUGUAUUU
ensembl:snRNA U6 U6 spliceosomal RNA